rnacentral:rRNA from 1 species
UACGAAGGGGGCUAGCGUUGCUCGGAAUCACUGGGCGUAAAGGGCGCGUAGGCGGUUUGUACAGUCAGGUGUGAAAUUCCCGGGCUCAACCAUGGGGGGCUGCACUUUGAUACGUAGGAACUGGAGUGGGGAAGAGGGUCGUGGAAUUCCCAGUGUAGAGGUGAAAUUCGUAGAUAUUGGGAAGAACACCGGUGGCGAAGGCGGCGACCUGGUCCUUGACUGACGCUGAGGCGCGAAAGCGUGGGGAGCAAACAGG